rnacentral:rRNA from 1 species
AUACGGAGGGUGCAAACGUUGUUCGGAAUUACUGGGCGUAAAGCGCGCGUAGGCGGUUUGUUAAGUCAGAUGUGAAAGUCCACAGCUCAACUGUGGAAGUGCAUUUGAAACUGGCAGACUUGAGUACUGGAGGGGGUGGUGGAAUUCCCGGUGUAGAGGUGAAAUUCGUAGAUAUCGGGAGGAAUACCGGUGGCGAAGGCGACCACCUGGCCAGAUACUGACGCUGAGGUGCGAAAGCGUGGGGGGCAAACAGGAUUAGAAACCCUAGUAGUCC